UUCAGAAUGUAUCUUUUCCAGUGAGGAACAGGACUAAGUCGUGCUCCUAGAAGUUGCCCCAGCCAAAGGCAGAGCUCACAUGUGAAGCUACUUUGCCUGAUUGGAUGGGGAGUCAGAAGAACUACAGCAGGAGCAGGAGUUAUCCUAGGGAAAAGUCCGGACGUUUUCUCCAAAUCCUCAUUUUUGAUCUGUCUGUAGUAUAUUUUGACAUGUGAUUGAUCAGAUUUUUAAUCUAACUCGUACAGUUACAGCACAAACUUAAUAGAUCCCAGAGACUGUCCAUAGGAAUAAAACCUUCCCUGAACUUGGUGCUGUCCUGUGCCUCAGUUAGGUACGUGUUUUCACCAAUGUCUCCAUAAUUUCUCCCUCGUGUGAACCUUCAAGUAUUGCAGGUGAAUUGCACCGGUGACGGUGAUCCUCAAAGGAAGCAUUUGUUUCCCACAUCCCAUUGGGGUGUUUUAUGGGAGCCGAGAGGACAGACUCCCGGGAAACUGGCUGCACGCUGUCAGAGAACAUGGAGCACAGGGCGCAUGAGAUAAGAACUGGAUGUCAUCUUCCAAGAAGAACUGAGUAAUCAUCUCAGUGAUACUGCCAGCAACUUGCUUCCUUUUGAUGCGGCUAUAACGUUACUGGAGGAUUAUUCACAUCACUGUGACUGCCGGGACUCUGGGAUCUUGAUGACAGUUCCUUUCACUGUUCGUUUAUUUCUCUUCCAUUUAUUUGGAAGAGUGCAUAUUUUUUAGUGUGUUUAAAGGAGUCCUUCUCGUGUUUUUCCUUCCAAUUCUCUCUCAAAGAAGCAAAACUGAAAAGAGCAGAGUCUUGACAGUAUUUUGGCUCAGAUCUUUG
rnacentral:lncRNA from 1 species